CUAGCGGCGGGCCUAAUACAUGCAAGUCGAACGGGAUUGUUGGUAGCAAUACUGACAUGAGAGUGGCGCACGGGUGCGUAACACGUAUGUAACCUACCUUUAACUGGGGAAUAGCUUCGAGAAAUCGAAAUUAAUACCCCAUAACGUUUAGAAAAGGCAUCUUUUCUUUACCAAAGCUCCGACGGUUAGAGAUGGACAUGCGGUGCAUUAGCUUGUUGGUGAGGUAACGGCUCACCAAGGCUUCGAUGCAUAGGGGGUCUGAGAGGAUGAUCCCCCACACUGGUACUGAGACACGGACCAGACUCCUACGGGAGGCAGCAGUAGGGAAUAUUGGGCAAUGGACGAAAGUCUGACCCAGCCACGCCGCGUGAAGGAUGACUGCCCUAUGGGUUGUAAACUUCUUUUGUAUGGGAAGAAACCUCCGAACGUGUUCGGAGCUGACGGUACCAUAAGAAUAAGCACCGGCUAACUCCGUGCCAGCAGCCGCGGUAAUACGGAGGGUGCAAGCGUUGUCCGGAUUCAUUGGGUUUAAAGGGUGCGUAGGCGGAGAAUUAAGUCAGUGGUGAAAGCUUACAGCUCAACUGUAAAAUUGCCAUUGAAACUGAUUUUCUUGAGUUCGAUUGAGGUAGAUGGAAUGUAUCAUGUAGCGGUGAAAUGCUUAGAUAUGAUACAGAACACCAAUUGCGAAGGCAGUCUACUAAGUCGAUACUGACGCUGAGGCACGAAAGCAUGGGGAGCAAACAGGAUUAGAUACCCUGGUAGUCCAUGCCCUAAACGUUGAUUACUCGUUGUUGGCGAUACACUGUCAGCGACUAAGCGAAAGCGUUAAGUAAUCCACCUGGGGAGUACA
rnacentral:rRNA from 1 species